CCCUACGGGAGGCAGCAGUGGGGAAUAUUGCACAAUGGGGGAAACCCUGAUGCAGCAACGCCGCGUGGGUGAAGGAGCGUUUCGGCGCGUAAAGCCCUGUCAGCGGGGAAGAAGAAAGACGGUACCCGACUAAGAAGCCCCGGCUAACUACGUGCCAGCAGCCGCGGUAAUACGUAGGGGGCAAGCGUUAUCCGGAUUUACUGGGUGUAAAGGGAGCGUAGGUGGCAUGGCAAGCCAGAAGUGAAAACCCGGGGCUUAACCCCGCGGAUUGCUUUUGGAACUGUCAGGCUGGAGUGCAGGAGGGG
rnacentral:rRNA from 1 species